CAACUACUCCCUCUGUCCCAAAUUUCUUGUCUUAGAUUUGUCUAGAUACGGAUGUAUCUAAUACUAAAAUGUGACUUGAUACAUCUGUAUCUAGACAAAUCUAAGACAAGAAUUUUGGGACGGAAGGAGUACUUU
rnacentral:pre_miRNA from 1 species